GCUUCCCGAGUGAGGCAGUGCCUCGCCCUGCUUCGGCUCGCACACGGUGCGCGCACCCACUGACCUGCGCCCGCUCUCUGGCACUCCCUAGUGAGAUGAACCCGGUACCUCAGAUGGAAAUGCAGAAAUCACCGUCUUCUGCGUCGCUCACGCUGGGAGCUGUAGACCGGAGCUGUUCCUAUUCGGCCAUCUUGGCUCCUCCAGGCCAAUUUACUUUCAAAAAUACCUGCAUCCAGGAACUCUCAUGCUAGCAGGAUGAGGUAAUGACUAUUUCCCAUACUCGUGUCAACUUUGAGCAAUGCUAGGAAUUUCCAUAUGUCCAAACAACUGUUUAUCAGGAAAUGCAACAAGGUACUUUUGACACUGAGCGUGAAAGGAACUCAUUGAACCAAAAUCUUCCAAAAAGACUGGAACAUAAGAGAGCGGAUGAAGAGCAUAAUAGAAGAGAAGUGCCAGGGAGGAGGAUUAUCUUAGGCAGAGCACACUGAGGAUGGAGAGUUACCAGCCCUCCCGAGCUGUCGUUGGCACUGAACCAAUGAGAGCCAUUCAUGUGCCUGUCUGUGCCUUGUGUUUUUCUUCUUCAACAUAUACUUUAGAACAUCCAUUCUGUGCAAAGCUCUGUGCCCACAGCUGUUGAGAUGCCAGAUGCAUGCUGUUCCCUGCCCUGAAGACCCCAGCAGUCAGGCCAGGGAG
rnacentral:lncRNA from 1 species